rnacentral:rRNA from 1 species
GGACGAACGCUGGCGGCGUGCCUAACACAUGCAAGUCGAGCGAGGAGAUCCUUCGGGAUGAUCCUAGCGGCGGACGGGUGAGUAACACGUGGGCAACCUGCCUCAUAGAGAGGAAUAGCCUUCCGAAAGGGAGAUUAAUACCUCAUAACAUUGCAGUUUCGCAUGGAACAGCAAUUAAAGGAGUAAUCCGCUAUGAGAUGGGCCCCGCGGCGCAUUAGCUAGUUGGUGAGGUAACGGCUCACCAAGGCGACGAUGCGUAGCCGACCUGAGAGGGUGAUCGGCCACAUUGGGACUGAGACACGGCCCAGACUCCUACGGGAGGCAGCAGUGGGGAAUAUUGCACAAUGGGGGAAACCCUGAUGCAAGCAACGCCGCGUGAGUGAUGACGGCCUUCGGGUUGUAAAGCUCUGUCUUCAGGGACGAUAAUGACGGUACCUGAGGAGGAAGCCACGGCUAACUACGUGCCAGCAGCCGC